ensembl:lncRNA
GAAGCGUCCAAGAGGAGUCUGGCGACCAGCAUAAGCAGAAUACAGGCUGGAUUGGGGGUGUUGUCGGCAUGGGGCAGAGAAACCAAGACCACAGGUGGCACGGCUCGUAGGGCUCAGAACAGAAUCUGGCUCUCCAAGAAGAUGGGUCAGAGCAGGGCUGGAGACCAGAAGCAGAAACUGUGGUUUGAGAGAGCACCUUGAAAAAAAGAAAAAAAGUGUCUGGAGCACUGAGAUGCAGAUUUGAUCCUGGCCUGACACCGCGGGUUAGGAUCUCGUGUUGCUGUAGCUUUGGCGUGGGUCACCACUGCGUCUUGGGUCUGAUCCCUGGCCUGGGAACUCCACAUGCCACAGGGCGGCCAAAAAAGAAGAAGAAAAAAGAGAAUUGGAAAUGCGUCUUGCAGCAACAAGACUUAAUGCUGACACUUCAGCUGUGGAGCCACAGUCCAGUGUCCUCUCCUCCUGCUCCUCUAGGAUGUCCAGAAACUUCUUUGCAUCGCUUUGAAUGCCAUCCGCUCUCUGCUGCUCUCUCCUUGUGCUGCCUGUCCAUUGGUACAUGUUGAUUGCCUCCUCUGCCUUGGAACUCAUUAAUUUACGAGCAAAGGGAAGCUCCCGACCCUGUUUAGGCAGAAUUUCCUCUUCCAGCUCCCUCAGGCCUGAAACAUAACCUUUCUGUGCCUCUUGGCGAAGUGCUCUCCAUCAUCUUUAUUUGAGAGGCAGGCUAGAAGCCAAGAGUGUUGCCGAAAUCUCGGCUGCUUCUGUACACCGAGGCCGAAGAAAGAUGCGGAGACAGAGUUGGAGGAACCAGGUUUAAUUGCCAGGCAAAGAGGGGAACACAGCAGGCUAGUGCCUCAAAGACUGUGCCCCCCCUUAGAGGGGGUAGUGGGCGGUCUUAUAGUGUUUGAAGAGUAGGGCAUGAUCAGCUCGUGGCCAUGUUCUGGAUUGGUGGGUGGCGAGGUAAUUGCGAGUCAGCAUCGUCAACCUUCUGGUUCGAAAGGUCUGGGGUCUACGUGCUUGUGGGCAGCAUACAGUUGACUGCUUCCACCGGUGGGGACUUCAGCACCUGCAAAACAGCUUCAAGGACAUGGCUCAGAAUAUUACCUGUAGUCGUUGAAGAACUGAAGGUCCUUGACUUUGUGGAAUGGCUGAAUUAUUACCAUUUUCUUUUUUUCUCUGUGUUUUUUCCCUUCCCUGAUUAAACUGGUUCUUUGACUAAAGUUUUUCUAUAGAUAAAAAAGGCAGGGGGAGGAUAGGUGUGGGGGUCCACUCUGGGAAGGCCUCACAGGGUCCUGCUUGGUUAUAAGAGCACAGGAUCUAGAAUCAGACCACCUGGUUUGAGCCCUGGCUCCUUGUGGGCAAGUGACUCACCCUCAGUUGCCGCAUCUGUAAAAUGGGAAUAAGAAUAGCACUUUGUAGGAUUGUCGUGAUGGUGAAAUCCCCCAUUAGGGCCAGGCCCCAUGAGCGUCACUGCUUUUUACAUGGCUGUGUUACCCCCUUAAACCGUGAAGUCCUCCAGGCACGUUCCAAUCCUCAAGGGGCUGCCAGGGUGCUGGUGGAGACAGAGUGUAAAAAAAAAAAGCAAAGACAGAAAUAAGUAAUAUAAUGUCAGAUGGGAUUGAGUGCAAUAAAGAAAAAUUAAAUGAGGCUAAUACAAUCAAGUGACCCAAGGAGCAUGUGGGUGUGGGUGUGGGCGAUAUUUUGAAUAAGAUGGACAGAGAAGGUUUUUCUGAGGAUUUGGCAUUUGAACAGUGGUCUGAUCCAAGUGUCUGCCUGGAGGACAGCUGUCCAGACAGAGGAGUCAGAGGGGUCAGCAAGUGCGGGAAUGACCUGGCUGUGUUUGGACAAGGAGGAGAGGAAAGGCAGAGCUGGGGGACAGGGUGAGGUGAGAAGGAAAGGGGGGAUACAGAGGGCAGACUUUGCGGCCUGGCCAGGAGUUUGGGGACAUGUCCUCCUUCCAGCAGGAGACACCGAGAGUUCUAAGCAGGGGAGUGACAUGAUUUGAUGUCUGACUCUUUGCUGUGUGGAAAGUCGAGGCAAGAGGAGGAGCUGGGGUAAAAGGGCACCAGGGAUUCUUGGACCUCAAGGAUGUGAGGUACGGGGAUGCAUUCUGAUGGCCUUUGCAGGGAGGUGGGCUACUCAGUUAUCAGUUAGAUAGCCUCCUGUGGUGGGCCAGAGAGUGUUCCCUCAAAAUUCACGUCCAUCCAGAACCUCAGAAUGUCCUUUUGUUUGAAAAUAAGGUUUUGGGGGAGUUUCCAUUAUGGCUCAGUCGGUUAUGAACCGGCUAGUAUCCAUGAGGAUGCGGGUUUGAUCCCUGGCCUUGCUCAGUGGGUUAAGGAUCCAGCAUUGCUGUGAGCUGUGGUGUAGGUCACAGGUGCGGUUCAGAUCUGGAGUUGCUGGGGCUAUAGCUUAGGCCAGCAGCUGCCGCUCCAAUUCCACCCCUAACCCAGGAACUUCUAUAUGCUGU